rnacentral:rRNA from 1 species
GUGGGGAAUCUUGCGCAAUGGGCGAAAGCCUGACGCAGCCAUGCCGCGUGAAUGAUGAAGGUCUUAGGAUUGUAAAAUUCUUUCACCGGGGACGAUAAUGACGGUACCCGGAGAAGAAGCUCCGGCUAACUUCGUGCCAGCAGCCGCGGUAAUACGAAGGGGGCUAGCGUUGCUCGGAAUUACUGGGCGUAAAGGGCGCGUAGGCGGACAGCUUAGUCAGAGGUGAAAGCCCAGGGCUCAACCUUGGAAUUGCCUUUGAUACUGGCUGUCUUGAGUUUGGGAGAGGUAAGUGGAACUCCGAGUGUAGAGGUGAAAUUCGUAGAUAUUCGGAAGAACACCAGUGGCGAAGGCGACUCACUGGCCCAAUACUGACGCUGAGGCGCGAAAGCGUGGGGAGCAAACAGGAUUAGAAACCCGGGUAGUCC